GGCGUGGCGUGGCGUGCGGAAUUUGGGGAGGAAAUAUUCACGUUUGUUUAGGGUCCUCCUGUGUUGUGUUAAUCCACCACGACCGUGUGAGAAAUGUACCAUUUCCAGAUGAAGAAACGCUCGUCACCCUUGCUCACUCUGCGAGGCCCUGAUAGAGCCAGGAUUAGGCAUUCCCCUCACCGUUUCUGCAAAAUGGGGUAACUAACCUGUGGGAUCGUUGUGAAGAUUGAGUAUCGAGAUUCAGUGGUUUUUAAUUUAUAUCAAGUUCCUCUCCGUUGGCAGCAGUAAUAACAUAGUAUCAACAAGCACUUGCCAGGCAGACUUUUAUCUUCACUUACACUACAACUCUGUGAGGGGAAUACUGAGGAGGGUUCACUGUUUUGCUAAUGUGCAGAGUGGUAUUUCUCAAGCUCCCUUGACUGAAUGGAAACACUUUUCUAUGCUUUUCUACUGAGCAUCUGCAACAACCCAUGCACUCUGGGAGUCUUCAUGGGGAAGGAUGAAUUACAGCUUGGUGUUCCCCUUUCCUUUAAAGAAAGGCAGGUAUACAGACCACCUACUAUGGGACACAGAGAUGCAGUUUGUACUCCCCCUUUGUGACUAUCUUUGCAAGGAGACC
rnacentral:lncRNA from 1 species